rnacentral:lncRNA from 1 species
ACCACAGUCCACCAGAAAAAGCAGAUAAAGUAUAAGUUCCCCCACAUCUUUAAAAAAAGUCUUCAAGUAACAGAAGCCUCACCUUCAUAUGGAGACAAGUGGUGAGUUACUGGCCCAUCUGAAUGACUUACUGUUUGUUCAUUGAUUAGCAGAAGAGUCCAGGACAAAUGCCUGUGAGAAUAAAUGUGGAGUCAUCAAAAAGGAGCAUGUACCGGCUGCAGCACAGGGAAUUCUACAGAACAGAGGC